AGAGUUUGAUCCUGGCUCAGAAUCAACGCUGGCGGCGCGCUUAACACAUGCAAGUCGCACGAGAAAGUGGAGCAAUCCAUGAGUAAAGUGGCGCACGGGUGAGUAACACGUGGAUCAUCUACCUUCUAGUGGGGAAUACCUCUGGGAAACCGGAGACAAUACCGCAUAAGCUCGUAAGAGGAAAGCGUCGUUGUCAAAGA
rnacentral:rRNA from 1 species